CGGUAGCCGCGGGAAUACGAAGGGUGCAAGCGUUAAUCGGAAUUACUGGGCGUAAAGCGUGCGUAGGCGGUUUGUUAAGUCUGUUGUGAAAUCCCCGGGCUCAACCUGGGAAUGGCAAUGGAUACUGGCAAGCUAGAGUGUGUCAGAGGAUGGUGGAAUUCCCAGUGUAGCGGUGAAAUGCGUAGAGAUCGGGAGGAACAUCAGUGGCGAAGGCGGCCAUCUGGGACAACACUGACGCUGAGGCACGAAAGCGUGGGGAGCAAACAGGAUUAGAUACCCCUGUAGUCCCUGUCUCUUAUAC
rnacentral:rRNA from 1 species